AGGAGGACCGAUUCGUUUUGCCGUCCCUUUCCGCCCGACGCCCUCGCGUGGGUGUGGGGUGGACAUCAGGCGCGAUCGAGGGCCUGGCAUGUCCCCCUCGGGACCGCCUUGGCCCAUGGCGUCGUUGCCCGUUCUCUCGGAUACGGAACGCCAUGCAUGGGUGCGGGGUCUCGGCCUUCGCUAGCCCAAGCUACGCAUUCGUCCCUUGACACGAACGACUGCAGCGCCCGUCUUGACCUCUCGCGUGCCUUCGGCUCGACGUGGGUCAUGCGGGCGUCGGCGUCGCCAAGGAAUGCUACCUGGUUGAUCCUGCCAGUAGUCAUAUGCUUGUCUCA
rnacentral:misc_RNA from 1 species